GCAAAGCUUUCGAUCCGUAAGCCCGGAUCUUCAUCAGUGCUAAUAAAUAUGAUCACAAAACAUAUUAACAUAUUUAUUAGCACUGAUGAAGAUCCGGGCUUACGGAUCGAAAGCUUU